rnacentral:rRNA from 1 species
CUACGUGCCAGCAGCCGCGGUAAUACGGAAGGUCCAGGCGUUAUCCGGAUUUAUUGGGUUUAAAGGGAGCGUAGGCUGGAGAUUAAGUGUGUUGUGAAAUGUAGACGCUCAACGUCUGAAUUGCAGCGCAUACUGGUUUCCUUGAGUACGCACAACGUUGGCGGAAUUCGUCGUGUAGCGGUGAAAUGCUUAGAUAUGACGAAGAACUCCGAUUGCGAAGGCAGCUUACGGGAACACAACUGACGCUGAAGCUCGAAGGUGCGGGUAUCAAACAGGAUUAGAUACCCUGGUAGUCCGCACAGUAAACGAUGGAUGCCCGUUGUUAGUUCACCUAAGAAUUAGCGACCAAGCGAAAGCAUUAAGCAUCCCACCUGGGGAGUACGCCGGCAACGGUGAAACUCAAAGGAAUUGACGGGGGCCCGCACAAGCGGAGGAACAUGUGGUUUAAUUCGAUGAUACGCGAGGAACCUUACCCGGGCUUGAAUUGCAGACGAACGAUUCAGAGA